rnacentral:ncRNA from 1 species
ACCAAGGAGUCUAACAUGUGCGCGAGCCGCGGGGCAGUACGAAACCCGUAAGGCGAAAUGAAGGUGAACGCCGGCGCCGUCCGGCGGAGGUUGGAUCCCGUCCCGUCGGGGCGGGCGCACUACCGGCCGAUCUUCUCCGCCCUGUCGGCGAGGUCGAGCGAGAGCGUGCAAGUCGGGACCCGAAAGAUGGUGAACUAUGCCCUGAGGAGGUGAAGCCAGAGGAAACUCUGGUGGAGGACCGUAGCGAUU